rnacentral:lncRNA from 1 species
ACCAUGUGACUAUUGUAUAACCUUAUUCUCCAGGCUUACUUUAAAAUUCAUAAGGUGAAUUCAUUGCCUGAACAUGUGCAUUGGCUGUAAUUCUACAGCAGAACUGGAAGUCACAAAAGCCAGAGAGCUUCUGAAAAAUCCUGUGCUGGGGACCUCAUGAAGUGAUGGAUCUGAAGGCCAGGAAACAGGACUUAGAAGUCAUAAGAAGAAGGCUGAGAAAACAUAAGGACGGAUGGAUCUGUGGUUUGAAGCUUAUAAUCAAGUCAGCCUUGCUGCUGGACUCAUUCUGACCCAGGACCGUGGACCAGGUGAGGAAACCGAGGCACUGAGACUUAAGUAAAUUGCCCAAGGAGAAGACAGAGACGAGGAACAGUGAGGGGGCCAGUGUGACAAGAACAUAGGAAACAAGUGGGAGAUGACGGAAGACGAAUGUGAAGAAGUAGUAAGAGACAAGGUUCUGGAGGGUGUUGCAGGCCAUUGUAAGAAAUUUGACUUUUAUGCUGAGUGAGAUGGUAAACCAUCGGUGGGUUUCGAGCAGAAGAGUGAUGUGUUUUGACUUAUAUUUAAAAAUCAUUUUCUUGCUGCUAGGCUGAGGAGAAAUUGUAAGCAGGGGUGAGGACUGGGGUGAGCGGAGAAGGGGUGUGUAUAUCAAGAGUGGAGCCAGGCCAACCAGGUAGGAGGCCAUUGCAAUAAUCCAGGUAAGGGGAUAGGAGUGGCUUGGUUACUAAACUGACGCCAGUAUAUUGACUAUACUUGAUUGGGCCUAUCUAUAUCUCUGUUGACUAAAUAGAGAGAGGAGGUGGUGAGAGAUGGUACAUAAAAUUACUAUGUAUUUAUUGCUACUAUAUAUAUUCCUUAAUUACAAUUUACUACACAUAGAUAAAUCCGGAUGAGUGUUUUCUAUGUACACCUUAGUAUAUUUAUGGUCAACCCGUGAUGAUAAAUAUGGUAGUGCAUAUUUUACAAAGCAACUUGAAUUAUUUUGAAAACAACCCAAUGAGGUAUGCGUGUUAGUCACAUAUUGCUCCUG